UCUUCUGCUCCUGCUCUCUCCUCUCAUCUCCUCCCAGGCGAUGAAACCCUAGUUUCAUCACAAAAAUCGUUGAUUGUUGAUUAAUGAAUCUGUAUAGAUGAUGAGGGUGAUGGUGUAAUUUUUGAUGUACGAAGGAGAACAGUAGGAGUUUUAGGUUCAUUGUGUGAGGUGAUAAAUCUGGGAGAGAGUUAGGUUAGGGUUUAUUCUUGAGGUGAAGAAAUCAUGAGAAGAUGAUGGAUCUGUUGAGAACGCAGGUGAUUCAUGGCGGUGCUGGUAAAUCAAGUGUGGAUUCAACUUGGCAGAAAUGGGAAUUUUGGUUUACUCUUUCCCCAAUUUAGGUACCAGGGUUUUCUGUGUUCAGGAUUACAAAAGAAACAAUUGAAGAUGGUGAUAGAGUUCGAUUGAUUAUAUUGUUACUGAUGAGAGAGGAGUGAACAUGUAUCGAUAUUUGCAGAUAGGAAGAAGGAGCUGAAGAAAAAAUAUGUGCAACUAAGGAUCCAACAUAAGAAGAGGGUAGUUGGUAAGAAGCUAAUGUUGCCUGCCAACUCUUUUGAUGAUUUAAUGUGUUGUUUGCUGUGAUGAUGGAAGGAGGUAUAGCUGAAAUGGGUGCUUAUUUGAGCGUUUGCAGCUGAUUUAGGUGGUGAAUUGAAAUUCCAGGAAUGAUGGAAGGAGGUAGCUGAAAUGCGUGCUUGGUUCUGGUGAUGCAGUUUGAGGUCAUAAGGAAGGAUUGCUAGGUCAAACAGUAGUGUUGUUGUAUUAUAUGAUAAUAGAACGAGUUGCAGAAUGGUGGCUGUUUGGCUGUAAAUUGCCGGGAAUAGAAGAAUGAGUUGCAGCUGGGCAACUAGAUGAACAAUGCAGGGAAGUGAUUGAAGCUGCAGAAUGGUGCUCUAAAUGGCAGUUGCAGUUGAAGCUGAAUGGAAGCUGCAGAUGUGAAGAAGAAGUGGGAGAGUAGUUCAUGGGGGAAAGCAUGGAAUUGUGGAGUUUCUGCUGUGAGAUGGAUGGAGGAUAUGAAGGAUAAGGAAAUGGUGGUUCUACUGAGAACAGUCUAGAAGCAGGCAUUGCCUUUCCUAAAGGUUUCUUUCUAAAUUGGUACAACCUUUUCCUUACCAAUUUUUGUUUUAAGCUGCAACCAUUUAACAAAAAUGUUUCUUGUUUUAAGUUGCACCCAUGGAAUUACAGGGUUGCAGCUCAUUGUACACCUAACACUGGUGAUAAGACUGUUCAUGAGAAUUUAGUCUUUAAUUUGGUUGUGUGCAGGCACUCAUUUAGCCAUGUGAAGAAAUUACUUUCAUGUCUUUUUUCUUUUUCUGUACCACCAGAUUCAUGCCUGCAAAGUGUUCGAUAAAGAUCUUGAAAGAAGAGGACUCUCAUUUCUCUUUGAUACUAGCUAGUAAUAUGAGGUUGUGCUAACGGCACCACGUAAUGUACGACUUCAUAUAUAUAGCUGGGUUAGCAGUAAAGUCCCUGUUGGAAUUAUUGCGUCAUUUAGGAAAAUGAAAAAGCUUACCCAAAACAAUGAAUUGGUGGUGGCUGCUCUCCAGGAGUCAUCUCUGCUUGUUGUAAGUUCAGAUGGGAAGAAAGUAAAACGGGCUCGUUCUUUGCCUGUUAUAGAUGUCAAGGAGGCACAGUCACGCACUGUUGUAGUAGAGAAUCUUCCAGCGAAUCAAUCAACAGAUAAUCUUCAGAAAAUUUUUGGCGAUGCCGGAAAUAUAAAGAGUAUCUGCAUCCGGGAUCCUCAUGACAUUGAAUCAACAAAGAGCACCAAAGCAGAAACAACUGUCAGCGGAAACAAAUUCCCUUGAUAUGCCGCUAAUUGAUGAAGCAUCGGUUAUGAAAGACAUGAAGGGAGCAGCUGUGGCAUAUGUGAUGGAUCUCUUAUCAGUCCUUGCAAUUUCAGUCCUUGCAACCUUCGUAAAAGGUUAUUGAUAUCUUUGAUGGUGAUAAACCAACCGCGGAAGAUUUUGAGGCAGAAAUAGUAUGCAAGAGAAGGCAAAGACAGUUAUGUGAGUUUUAUCGUAUAUGCUCUUAAGUUCUAAACAACUUUAAGCCACAGAUAACUUAGAAAUUCUCUUAAGUUUCUAACCAGACAUUGUAUUCCCUAAAAACUUAGGUAUUCUCUUAAGUAGUUCUUGUUAAAAGAAUAGACUACUAUUGUUGUUGAAUGUGUGAUUGGAUUUGGUGGAAUUGAAUGAAAUACUUUGUAGGUAGUUAUUUUUGA